CUACCUUUCCUGACACCAGGCUUGUUUUAUAACUCUCCAGACUCACAUCCAUAGAAGAAUGGGAGCCUGCUCAAGAAUCUACCAAUGAACUUGUAAAUGUAGUCAUACAAAAACCAUCAGGGUUAUGCACAGCAGACUGACGGGCGCAGAAUUCAGCUCAAAGGUUGUUCCAGCAACCCCAGUCAUCAACACCCACCACCCUGAUCAGUCAGCAGCCAUCAGCAUCAAGACCAUGUGCAGGAGAAUAAAGCCUUCAUCGUCUACGAAAUAAAAAUUCUGAGUAAUGAACACCUGGCUACACUAUGAGUCAACCAUAAUUCCUGCAAUAGGAACCAAGGAUGACUAUAUUAAUGGUGUUUCUAUCAAACUUGCUCCAAAUGGAAAUUCAAACGCAUUUUAUUCUUUGAUUUCCAUGUAUGAGAUUUUAUUUAGCCUUUCAUGAAGAUGGUGCUGAAGGCGAAGAAGGAAGCCUCUGCCCCUCCCAAAGCUGAAGCCAAAGCCAAAGCAAAGGCUUUGAAAGCUAAGAAAGUGGUGCUAAAAGGCAUACACAGUCACAAAAAAAAAGAAGAUCCAUACAU